UACGAAGGGGGCUAGCGUUGCUCGGAAUCACUGGGCGUAAAGCGCACGUAGGCGGAUUGUUAAGUCAGGGGUGAAAUCCUGGAGCUCAACUCCAGAACUGCCUUUGAUACUGGCGAUCUCGAGUCCGGGAGAGGUGGAGUGGAACUCCGAGUGUAGAGGUGAAAUUCGUAGAUAUUCGGAAGAACACCGGUGGCGAAGGCGGCGAUCUGGUGCGAUACUGACGCUGAGGUGCGAAAGCGUGGGGAGCAAACAGG
rnacentral:rRNA from 1 species